rnacentral:snoRNA from 1 species
AUCUGAAUGAUGACUUCAUAGUUCAUCUGAACACAUUGAUGCAUACUAGCUUAUGUCUUUCGCUCCUAUCUGAUGCCAUUC